AACUAACAAGGAUUCCCCUAGUAACUGCGAGUGAAGCGGGAAAAGCUCAAAUUUAAAAUCUGGCAGUCUUUGGCUGUCCGAGUUGUAAUCUAGAGAAGUAUUAUCCGCGCUGGACCGUGUACAAGUCUCCUGGAAUGGAGCGUCAUAGAGGGUGAGAAUCCCGUCUUUGACACGGACUGCCAGGGCUUUGUGAUAUGCUCUCAAAGAGUCGAGUUGUUUGGGAAUGCAGCUCAAAAUGGGUGGUAAAUUCCAUCUAAAGCUAAAUAUUGGCGAGAGACCGAUAGCGAACAAGUACCGUGAGGGAAAGAUGAAAAGAACUUUGGAAAGAGAGUUAAACAGUACGUGAAAUUGCUGAAAGGGAAACGCUUGAAGUCAGUCGCGUUGGCCAGGGAUCAACCUUGCUUUUUUGCUUGGCUUACUUUCUGGUUGAUGGGUCAGCAUCAAUUUUGACUGGUGGAAAAAGUUCAAGGGAAUGUGGCAUCUUCGGAUGUGUUAUAGCCUUUGUUCACAUACAUUGGUUGGGAUUGAGGAACUCAGCACGCCGCAAGGCCGGGUUUUUAACCACGUACGUGCUUAGGAUGCUGGCAUAAUGGCUUUAAUCGACCCGUCUUGAAACACGGACCAAGGAGUCUAACAUGCCUGCGAGUAUUUGGGUGAAAAACCCAAGUGCGUAAUGAAAGUGAAAGUUGAGAUCCCUGUCGUGGGGAGCAUUGACGCCCGGAUCUGACCUUUUGUGACGAUUCUGCGGUAGAGCAUGUAUGUUGGGACCCGAAAGAUGGUGAACUAUGCCUGAAUAGGGUGAAGCCAGAGGAAACUCUGGUGGAGGCUCGUAGCGAUUCUGACGUGCAAAUCGAUCGUCAAAUUUGGGUAUAGGGGCGAAAGACUAAUCGAACCAUCUAGUAGCUGGUC
rnacentral:rRNA from 1 species